rnacentral:rRNA from 1 species
UACGUAGGGUGCUAACGUUGUUCGGAAUUACUGGGCGUAAAGCGCACGUAGGCGGGCGAUUAAGUCAGGGGUGAAAUCCCGGAGCUCAACUCCGGAACUGCGUCCGAUACUGGCGGGCUUGAAUCCGGGAGAGGGAUGCGGAAUUCCAGGUGUAGCGGUGAAAUGCGUAGAUAUCGGAAGGAACACCAGUGGCGAAAGCGGCUUCCUGGUCCAGAACCGACGUUCAGGC